rnacentral:ncRNA from 1 species
UAUCGUGAGGUAACGGCGAGAAGAAGAGAUUGCGAAAUCGCAGCUUGACGAACAGAAACUUGAUAUCAAGGCGAGGUAGGCGGAUAAGUUGACCUAAAGCAACGAAAUCCAAAAGGCAACCGUAACCCUAUUGCGUAAAUCAAGCAGGUAGGCGAGGAAAGAG